AGCUGCGUGGCGCAGUGGAAGCGCGGUAAGUUCUCCAAACUCAACUCGAGUAAUCCGAAACCACAUCACUAACUCUCUCCUCUCAGCCGGGCUCAUAACCCGGAGGUCCUCCGAUCGAAACGGAGCGCAGCUA